rnacentral:rRNA from 1 species
AUUGAACGCUGGCGGCAGGCUUAACACAUGCAAGUCGAGCGGGGGAAGGUAGCUUGCUACUGGACCUAGCGGCGGACGGGUGAGUAAUGCUUAGGAAUCUGCCUAUUAGUGGGGGACAACAGCUCGAAAGGGAUGCUAAUACCGCAUACGUCCUACGGGAGAAAGCAGGGGAUCUUCGGACCUUGCGCUAAUAGAUGAGCCUAAGUCGGAUUAGCUAGUUGGUGGGGUAAAGGCCUACCAAGGCGACGAUCUGUAGCGGGUCCGAGAGGAUGAUCCGCCACACUGGGACUGAGACACGGCCCAGACUCCUACGGGAGGCAGCAGUGGGGAAUAUUGGACAAUGGGGGGAACCCUGAUCCAGCCAUGCCGCGUGUGUGAAGAAGGCCUUAUGGUUGUAAAGCACUUUAAGCGAGGAGGAGGCUACUUUAGUUAAUACCUAGAGAUAGUGGACGUUACUCGCAGAAUAAGCACCGGCUAACUCUGUGCCAGCCGCCGCAGUAA